rnacentral:rRNA from 1 species
CCCGCUGAACUUAAGCAUAUCAAUAAGCGGAGGAAAAGAAACUAACAAGGAUUCCCUUAGUAACGGCGAGUGAAGAGGGAACAGCUCAAAUUUGAAAUCUGAUGGCCUACGGCUAUCCGAGUUGUAAUCUAGAGAAGUGUUUUCCGCGCUGGACCGUGUACAAGUCCUUUGGAACAAGGCGUCAUAGAGGGUGAGAAUCCCGUCUACGACACGGACUACCAGUGCUUUGUGAUACACUCUCAACGAGUCGAGUUGUUUGGGAAUGCAGCUCAAAAUGGGUGGUAAAUUCCAUCUAAAGCUAAAUACAGGCGAAAGACCGAUAGCGAACAAGUACCGUGAGGGAAAGAUGAAAAGCACUUUGGAAAGAGAGUUAAACAGUACGUGAAAUUGUUGAAAGGGAAACGCUUGAAGUCAGUCGCGUCUUCAGAAAUUCAGCCUGGCUUCUGCCUGGUGUACUUUCUGGUUAAUGGGUCAGCAUCAAUUUUGACCGGUGGAUAAAGGUCAGGGGAAUGUGGCAUCUUCGGAUGUGUUAUAGCCCUUGGUUGCAUACAUCGAUUGGGAUUGAGGAACUCAGCAUGCCGCAAGGCCGGGUUUUUAACCACGUACAUGCUUAGGAUGCUGGCAUAAUGGCUUUAAUCGACCCGUCUUGAAACACGG